ncrna:Aeribacillus pallidus L31-Firmicutes ribosomal protein leader
CUCUGUUUCGGCAAACGAUUCAGGGCGGAAAAGAG